UGCAUAAAUUUAUUUAAUUAAAUAUUUGAAUAUAAUAAACGCGUAGAAGUAAAUCAUAUUUAUAUUUACACAUCAUUAAACAUAAAGUAGUGUUCUGAAUGAAUAAUUCAGAAUCGCUGAGUUUAUUGUCAAAUAUUUUCGACAUCGAAAAACACAAACGAUUAUUUUCGCAAAAUUCACUAAUCCCUCGACGAUACGAGGCAUUGUCAUGAAUAUUUAUCAGAUUUAAUGCAUUAAAACGAAUGUCACAGCAUUAAAUAUUUAUAAAAUGAAGCUUUAAAAUUAUAGUGACAUAUUAGAAUUGUUUUUGAGGUUUUUCUAGAAAUGAUUACGGUUGAUUAAGUAACAAAUAAUAAGAAUGAAGAGCGAAAUGAUAACAACUGACGAACUUAUUGGAAGAACAGUACAAAUAAACAGAAUUUUUGUUCUGAUUACAACUAUAAUUAUUCUUAUUUUCUUGCAAGAAACAAUGCAAGAAGAUGGCCAAUCUCCCGUCCCUCCGCCUGAACCGACUGACCCCAGCCAUCUGACCUCGCCUAGAUCAGG